ensembl:lincRNA 1700121N20Rik RIKEN cDNA 1700121N20 gene
UUUAUCACAGCAACAGGAAGUAACUGACACAAACGCCCAUAAAGAUGAAAAAGGUCUUGUGUGGAGCAGCGCUGUAUGCUCAUCCCUUCAUCAGAGUCAGCUGGAUUUUGCAAGGGAGGAAAGGAUCUACAUCUUCAAACCCUCCAGCCUGAGCUAGGCUCCCAGGACCCCACCCUCCUUCGCUCACACUUGCACGCGCAGGACCAGAGCCUGUGGGCCCUGGUGUACAUCUCCCGCCGAUGCAGAAUCUGCAAAUAGACGCCUCCUUCCACAACAUACCUCUCCACAAAGCCAACCCACUGAAACGGAGCUCAUUAUCUCCAGACAUCGCUGCGGCCAAAGGGCAGGCUAUGAUGCAGAGCAUCAUGGGAUGGCAGCCUUCAGUGGACAAUGACUUCGUGGUGGUCAGCAAGCCAAGAAGAGAUGAGCAAAAGACCCGGGUUGCCAGAAGAAUGUAAGUCAGCCUCGAAGACUGAGAAGGCAGAGUCACUACAUGGGCACCGGCACAGACCCUCCUGGCCCCUUGAGGUGAGUGCUGCUUCGUUGUGGAGCCUCGAAUGACUGUGGAGAAGAGAGUACCUAUCCGCACGAGUUGACCUCCAACCUGUCUCAAAAUGACGGGUCGAAGAUGAGUCUGUGCUCUGUCUCAAGUGACAGCCGUCCCACCAACGUAUUGUUCCCUGUCUUCAGAUAUUUGGACUCUACGAAGUACAGAGGCAGCGCAGAUUUUUAUCCUUGUGCAGAUUCUUCAAAAUGAACACAAGGUUACAUAACCCAAGAUGCACAGAGAAAUGUGCAGUGUGAUGGAGUUUCCAGGACACAGGCUGCAGACCAGUGAAUGGCCGACAUCAGCUGGCUUGGAGGGAGGUGCGCUGGAAUCUCCUGCAGUUCCUGACGGAAGUGGGCUGUUUCCACGGUUUAGAACCGCUCACAACGUGAGCUACUUUUUUUAGUCUUUUCAAGACAGAAGCUUGGGUCAAAGUCUUAUUCAUCUGUGGCAGAGGGUAAUAAAAACAGGAAGUCUGGG